rnacentral:lncRNA from 1 species
AGAGAGAUGGGUGAUACUUUCCGGCUGUUAUGCGGUAGUUGAAGAUUUUCAGUAGAUGUAGUCGUUCGGGGGUCAGAUGAAAAAUAUCUUUUCCAUGUGAAGGAAGAUGAUCUCGCCUGUUUGGUUUUUGUCAAAAUGAAAAAGAAUGGUUGCUUCUCUUUGUGUAGAAGAUGAUAGUUUUUGUGUGUGUCUCUUUGAUAAGAAAAUAGUGGAUUCUAGUCAAGCUUAAGGAUCUUUUUUGUGUUCUUCUUCAUGAAGAAGAAAGGUGGUCACCGGUCCUUUUUUUCUGAAGGUUCUGGUGUUCUUUUGUUGAAGAAGAAGAUAGCUCCUAGGAUCGUUUGGUAUGAGGGCCGUUUUCUGGGUGUUCAGCCGCUGCUCAUGCUUCCCUUCAGGCUAGCUUAUUUUUUUGGGUGUGAUCUUGUGUGUGUUUUCCUUAGCUGGUCAGCAUUAGCGGUGUAGGAUCUAGGUUUAUAUUUUGUCAUUUUUGCUCAUUAAUCCUUAGGUCUUUUGUGUAUUAAGUCUCUAUGGUCUUUUUAUUUAUUUUUGUUCCAAAGAACAGUCUAGAAGGGUCCCUAGGAUUAGCUUAAUGAGUAUUAGAUAUUGAGCUUAAGGAAAGGGCUAGAAACUUGGGCCUUUAUGACUAGCUAUAUUUAAAAUUAGCUUAAUUAACUAAAAGUAUUAUCAGAAAUUAUUAAUUAGUUCUACUUAAGUAAAAAAUAAUUAUUAAAAUAAGACUGACCAGUAAAACAAAACUAUUUUUUUGGUAUUUUUUUAAGACUAAAAAUGACUACAAAAUAUUGAUGAAUCUAUUUUUUUAAUUUUUAUUUUCUUGUACUAAAUUAAAAGUAAAAGAGUAAAAAUGAGUUGAAAUAGCUAUAUUAGGCUUAAAUUAAAUAUUUACGUGCUAAAAUAUGAAAAAUCUUAGGGAGGGUCAAAAAUCACAUGUCUACAAGUACCGCACCGAUACUGAACCAGUAUAAAAACUACGAGCCUACUUUACUUUUCUGUUUGCGCAGUUUAAAUUCUUCUGCGAUUAAUUCCUGUGAAAAGUCUAGUCGACUAAUUUAAUUUCUUACAUAGUCAACUAAUUUGUGCAAAUCGGCUACAAUUCACUCCUUAGGGUGCUGACUGUUAAGUUUAAAAUUUUAAUAAAAAUUAAUAAUCAAAAGAAACCUUGAAUAAUGACAUCUCAUUGUGUACAGAUUCAAAGAUCAAUGGCAUUAAUGAAAGGAAAGAAGAUCAUAUUGGAAAUGAUAGGAGCUCAACAGCUAUGUAUUUUGAACGUUCCAUCAAAUGGAAAGAGAAUCAAUAAAUCAAAGAACAAUGAAGGAAAGUCAAUCAAUCAGACUUGCUAAAGAUCCUCAAGCGCGCAGGAAAGGAAAGAGAGCUAAUCACAGCUAGAGAACCAAUCAAGAACAAUUUGCGAAAGCUUUAAUCAAGGAUAAAUGGAAGAACCAAUUCGUCAAAAUUAAAGAUUAAUCUAGUUACCUUUUCAAGUUAGAUUCCUGAGGCUACCCUUAGGUCUCACUCUUAGAUGUAUAUGCCUCACAAGGAAAGGCCUCCAAAAUUACUGUUAUGCGAUCCGAGAAGACAAGGAAUUUAAAGACACAUCAAGCUAUAAAAGAAGAAUAAGAAGGGCAUCGAAGAGCACGCAACUUAAUAUUUGUUUUUACAACUUUCUAGUUCUAAGCUCAAACAAUAUAUUGUUGAUUCGCAAAAGAUAUGAAGAGUUAGAAUACAAAACAAGAGUUGUGUCAACAUUAGAAAGAAACAUUGUUGAUGUAUAUUAUUGGUGGUGAACGUACUAAAAUCAUCACUACUGUAAAAGCUUACUGAAGAUCUAAGAUAACCCUUAUGACACAAGGGAACUGGACGUAAGUACCAUACCGGUACUAAAUCAGUGUAAAAACUGCUACGCCUCUUUUACUUUUCUGUUUACUCAGUUUAAUUUAUCUACGAUUAAUUCCUAUGUAAAGUCUAGUCGAUUAAUUUCUUACAUAAUCAACUAAGUUGUACAAAUAGGCUACAAUUCACUCCUCAGGGUGCUGACUGUUAAGUUUAUAAUUUUAAUAAAAAUUAAUAAUCAAAAGAAAGCUUGAAUAAUGACAUCUCAUUGUGUACAGAUUCAAAGAGCAAUGGCAUU